AUACGUAGGGGGCGAGCGUUGUCCGGAAUGAUUGGGCGUAAAGGGCGCGUAGGCGGCCCGGUAAGUCUGGCGUGAAAGUCCUGUUUUUAAGAUGGGAAUUGCUUUGGAUACUGUCGGGCUUGAGUGCAGGCGAGGUAAGUGGAAUUCCCAGUGUCGCGGUGCAAUGCGUAGAGAUUGGGAGGAACACCAGUGGCGAAGGCGACUUACUGGACUGUAACUGACGCUGAGGCGCGAAAGUGUGGGGAGCAAACAGGAUUAGAUACCCUGGUAGUCCACACUUUAAACGAUGAAUGCUAGGUGUAGGGGGUAUCGACCCCUUCUGUGCCGCAGUCAACACAAUAAGCAUUCCGCCUGGGGAGUACGGCCGCAAGGUUGAAACUCAAAUGAAUUGACGGGG
rnacentral:rRNA from 1 species